rnacentral:rRNA from 1 species
AGGGUUUGAUCCUGGCUCAGAACGAACGUUGGCGGCGUGGUUUAGGCAUGCAAGUCGAGCGAGAAAGCCCUUCGGGGUGAGUACAGCGGCGGAAGGGUGAGUAAUAUGUGAACAACCUACCCCCGAGACUGGAAUAACCUCCUCAACGGGAGGCUAAUGCCGGAUGGUGCCACGAGGUCGCAUGGUCUUGUGGUUAAAGGCGGGGUUUCCCUGCCACUCGAGGAGGGGUUCAUAUCCUAUUAGCUUGCUGGUGAGGUAACGGCCCACCAGGGCUGUGAUGGGUAGCCGGAUUGAGAGGUUGGCCGGUCACACUGGAACUGAGACACGGUCCAGACUCCUGCGGGAGGCUGCAGUCGAGAAUCUUCCGCAAUGGGCGAAAGCCUGACGGAGCGACGCCGCGUGGAGGAUGAAGGCCCUUGGGUCGUAAACUCCUGUCGGGGGUUAUGAAAUCUUAUGCGGUUAAUACCCGCAUUGGUUGACAAAGGCCCUAGAGGAAGCACUGGCUAACUACGUGCCAGCAGCCGCGGUAAUACGUAGAGUGCUAACGUUGUUCGGAAUCACUGGGCAUAAAGGGCCUGUAGGUGGUGUGGGAAGUCGGUUGUGAAAGCCCCUGGCUCAACCAGGGAACUGCGGCCGAGACUCCCGCACUUGAGUGUGAGAGGGGAGAGCGGAACUUCCAGUGGAGCGGUGAAAUGCGUAGAUAUUGGAAGGAACGCCGGUGGCGAAAGCGGCUCUCUGGCUCACUACUGACACUGAAGGGCGAAAGCCAGGGGAGCGAACGGGAUUAGAUACCCCGGUAGUCCUGGCCGUAAACGAUGGGCACUAAGUGGAGGGGAAACUACCCUUUCUCUCCUCUGAAGCUAAUGUGUUAAGUGCCCCGCCUGGGGAGUAUGGUCGCAAGGCUGAAACUCAAAGGAAUUGACGGGGGCUCGCACAAGCGGUGGAGGAUGUUGCUUAAUUCGAAUCAACGCGAAGAACCUUACCUGGGUUGAACUACGAGCUGCUACCCCUGUGAAAGCAGGGUUCCUUCGAGGGUGCUCGAUAGGUGUUGCACGGCUGUCGUCAGCUCGUGCCGUGAGGUGUUGGGUUAAGUCCCGUAACGAGCGCAACCCUUGUCCUUAGUUGCCAGCACUCCGGGUGGGGACUCUAGGGAGACUGCCGGUGCUAAGCCGGAGGAAGGUGGGGACGACGUCAAGUCAUCAUGGCCCUUACGCCCAGGGCUGCAAACGUCCCACAAUGGCCAGUACAGAGGGCCGCGAAGCCGCGAGGUGGAGCAAAUCUCAGAAAGCUGGUCUCAGUUCGGAUUGCAGGCUGCAAUUCGCCUGCAUGAAGUCGGAAUCGCUAGUAAUCGCGGAUCAGCAUGCCGCGGUGAAUAUGUUCCCGAGCCUUGUACACACCGCCCGUCAAGCCACCCAAGCAGGGCUUACCCGAAGUCCAUGACCCAACUCUGACGCCCUUCGGGGCAUGACGAGAGGGAGUGGCCGAAGGUGGGCUUUGUGAGGGGG